AUGAACGCUGGCGGCGCGCCUAACACAUGCAAGUCGAACGGCACCCCUCUCCGGAGGGAAGCGAGUGGCGAACGGCUGAGUAACACGUGGAGAACCUGCCCCCUCCCCCGGGAUAGCCGCCCGAAAGGACGGGUAAUACCGGAUACCCCGGGGUGCCGCAUGGCACCCCGGCUAAAGCCCCGACGGGAGGGGAUGGCUCCGCGGCCCAUCAGGUAGACGGCGGGGUGACGGCCCACCGUGCCGACAACGGGUAGCCGGGUUGAGAGACCGACCGGCCAGAUUGGGACUGAGACACGGCCCAGACUCCUACGGGAGGCAGCAGUGGGGAAUCUUGCGCAAUGGGGGGAACCCUGACGCAGCGACGCCGCGUGCGGGACGGAGGCCUUCGGGUCGUAAACCGCUUUCAGCAGGGAAGAGUCAAGACUGUACCUGCAGAAGAAGCCCCGGCUAACUACGUGCCAGCAGCCGCGGUAAUACGUAGGGGGCGAGCGUUAUCCGGAUUCAUUGGGCGUAAAGCGCGCGUAGGCGGCCCGGCAGGCCGGGGGUCGAAGCGGGGGGCUCAACCCCCCGAAGCCCCCGGAACCUCCGCGGCUUGGGUCCGGUAGGGGAGGGUGGAACACCCGGUGUAGCGGUGGAAUGCGCAGAUAUCGGGUGGAACACCGGUGGCGAAGGCGGCCCUCUGGGCCGAGACCGACGCUGAGGCGCGAAAGCUGGGGGAGCGAACAGGAUUAGAUACCCUGGUAGUCCACGCCGUAAACGAUGAGAACUAGGUGUUGGGGGAAUAACUCAGUGCCGCAGUUAACGCAAUAAGUUCUCCGCCUGGGGAGUAUGCACGCAAGUGUGAAACUCAAAGGAAUUGACGGGGGCCCGCACAAGCAGCGGAGCAUGUGGCUUAAUUCGAAGCAACGCGAAGAACCUUACCAGGGCUUGACAUAUGGGUGAAGCGGGGGAGACCCCGUGGCCGAGAGGAGCCCAUACAGGUGGUGCAUGGCUGUCGUCAGCUCGUGUCGUGAGAUGUUGGGUUAAGUCCCGCAACGAGCGCAACCCCCGCCGCGUGUUGCCAUCGGGUGAUGCCGGGAACCCACGCGGGACCGCCGCCGUCAAGGCGGAGGAGGGCGGGGACGACGUCAAGUCAUCAUGCCCCUUAUGCCCUGGGCUGCACACGUGCUACAAUGGCCGGUACAGAGGGAUGCCACCCCGCGAGGGGGAGCGGAUCCCGGAAAGCCGGCCCCAGUUCGGAUUGGGGGCUGCAACCCGCCCCCAUGAAGUCGGAGUUGCUAGUAAUCGCGGAUCAGCAUGCCGCGGUGAAUGCGUUCCCGGGCCUUGUACACACCGCCCGUCACACCACCCGAGUCGUCUGCACCCGAAGUCGCCGGCCCAACCGUCAAGGGGGGAGGCGCCGAAGGUGUGGAGGGUGAGGGGGGUG
rnacentral:rRNA from 1 species